GGAUCCAGACUUUGAUCAUGGCUCACGAUGAACGCUGGCGGCGCAUUUAAGACAUGCAAGUCGAACGAAAAUUUACGCUUAAAGAGUUGAUUAGUUUACUAAGAGAUGAUUUAUUGUAAAUUUUAGUGGCGGACUGGUGAGUAAUACAUAGGUAAUCUGCCUUUUAGAGGGGAAUAACUAGGAGAAAUCCUAGCUAAUACCGCGUAAGACCACACUUAGGCAUCUAAGAGAGGUCAAAGGAGUAAUCCGCUAAAAGAUGAGCCUGUGGCUGAUUAGUUAGUUGGUGGGGUAAGAGCCUACCAAGACGAUGAUCAGUAGCCGAGCUGAGAGGCUGGCCGGCCACAUUGGGACUGAGAUACGGCCCAGACUCCUACGGGAGGCAGCAGUUGGGAAUAUUGGACAAUGGAGGAAACUCUGAUCCAGUGACGCCGCGUGAAGGAAGAAGGUCUUCGGAUUGUAAACUUAUUUUAUCAGGGAAGAAGAAAGUGACAGUACCUGAAGAAAAAGGACCGGCAAACUACGUGCCAGCAGCCGCGGUAAUACGUAGGGUCCAAGCGUUAUCCGGAUUUACUGGGUGUAAAGGGCGAGUAGACGGUGCUGUAAGUCAGCUGUGAAAACUUAGGGCUCAACCUUAAGCCUGCAGCUGAAACUGUAGUGCUAGAGUGCAGGAGAGGUAAGCGGAAUUCCUAGUGUAGCGGUGAAAUGCGUAGAUAUUAGGAGGAACACCAGUGGCGAAGGCGGCUUACUGGACUGUAACUGACGUUGAGGCGCGAAAGUGUGGGGAGCAAACAGGAUUAGAUACCCUGGUAGUCCACACCGUAAACGAUGGAUACUAGGUGUAGGCGAGAUAUCGUCUGUGCCGGCGCAAACGCAAUAAGUAUCCCACCUGGGGAGUACGGCCGCAAGGUUGCAACUCAAAUGAAUUGACGG
rnacentral:rRNA from 1 species